GGGCCCGUAGCUCAGAGGUGGAGCGCCGGCCUUAUAAGGCUACGCUCCUAAGAAAGCCGGAGGUCAGGGGUUCGAGUCCCCUCGGGCCCA
rnacentral:tRNA from 2 species